GACGAACGCUGGCGGCGUGCCUAACACAUGCAAGUCGAACGGAAAGGCCCUGCUUUUGUGGGUUGCUCGAGUGGCGAACGGGUGAGUAACACGUGAAUAACCUGUCCCUGACUUUGGGAUAACAUCAGGAAACUGGGGAUAAUACCGGAUAGGAGCUCCUGCUGCAUGGUGGUGGUUGGAAAGAUUGGGCUGUUGGAGAUGGACUGGCGGCUCAUCGGCUAGUUGGGGGGGUAGUGGCUUACAAAGCCUUUGACGGGUAGCCCACAUGAGAGGUGGGACAGGGACAUGGCUACUGAGAUAGGGCGCAGACGCGUACGUGACGCAGCAGUGGGGAGUAUUGCGCAAUGGGGGGAAGCCUGAGGUGGCGGUGCCGCGUGCGGGAUACCGGGCUACGAGUUAUGAACCGCCGUCGACUGAAACGAGGAGUGAGUGACGGUAAUGGGUAAGGAAGCACCGGCUAACUACGUG
rnacentral:rRNA from 1 species